UAGGUAGGUGAGGCGGGGCUUGAUGGCAUUCCGGCACACCUGCGGCGCAUCGGACGUCAUCAGUGAGCGCUUUUAUGGAGCUGAGUCACGGACGUCUGGUGUCAGAGUAUUGUCGCUGUCACAAGUGCCUGUUCCGCUGCCUGCUCGCCUGCCUAGUUUCUUUGUGUUGGCUACUGUGGAUCCCUGACGGAGAGCUACGUUACACCAGUCUGUGAUCACUGCUACAGCUGUAGUUUUGUGUUUCAAGUAGCUCCGGUGCGUCAUCUGCCCACCCACAUACCUUGGCUCUGUCUCAUCUCUUCGGCUUUGCUCUCCUUGCACAUUUUUAUUUGUCACUGUAUAUAGCCCCCUCCCUUGUAAAUAUUCCCCAUCAUUGUAGAUAAACUUGCAUCACAACUCUCUUGUGCCCGUGUGUGUUUCUGCCACUAAAUCCAUCCGUGCAGUUUUCCUAACAACACCUGAGGUGUGGAGUCCUGCAUGGACCCGAGGGGAGACACACCCUUGAAGACAACACAACAAAGGAGGCAAUAAGGAAGAAAGGAAGAAAAAGACUCAAGGAACUAAACUGCACUAGAGAUGUACCCAACAUAAGUGAAUCUGAAAAACCUUCCUACAGUUUAGUGUCAAUUUAAACAGCCGCUCAAGUUGUUUUCCUUAUUAUAAUUAUGGUUGUCUUUUGGAGAAAUGUACAGUAUGUGAAAGGAAGUUGCAGCCAUUAUUAUUUAAGAAUGUCUUUGACUGUUUUUGUGAGUAACAUCUUUUUACCCUCAUGAGUCAUGGCUUCUUUCUUUCUGCUCAUGCGUAACAUUUUUUGUCACAUGUACAGUAUGCUUUAACUAAUGACUGGGCUUUUCAAUAAAGAGUUGUGAACCAGUA
ensembl:lncRNA